GGUCCUAUAGUGUAGUGGUUAUCACUUUCGGUUUUGUAUCCGGACAACCCCGGUUCGAAUCCGGGUAGGACCU
rfam:Saccharomyces cerevisiae FostersB unplaced genomic scaffold FOSTERSB_scf_1000_22, whole genome shotgun sequence.